AAUUAACGCUGGCGGCAUGCCUAACACAUGCAAGUCGCACGAGAAAGCCCCUUUCGGGGGGCAAGUAAAGUGGCGCACGGGUGAGUAACGCGUGGAUAAUCUACCUCGUUCUGGGGGAUAACCCAUCGAAAGGUGGGCUAAUACCGAAUAACACUGCAAGACUUUGGUCGAGCAGUCAAAGAGAGCCUCUGCUUGCAAGCCCUCGCUGAAGGAUGAGUCCGCGUACCAUUAGCUAGUUGGCAGGGUAAUGGCCUACCAAGGCGACGAUGGUUAGCUGGUCUGAGAGGAUGAUCAGCCACACUGGAACUGAGACACGGUCCAGACUCCUACGGGUGGCUG
rnacentral:rRNA from 1 species